rnacentral:rRNA from 1 species
GACGAACGCUGGCGGCGUGCUUAACACAUGCAAGUCGAACGGAAAGGCCCUGCUUUUGUGGGGUGCUCGAGUGGCGAACGGGUGAGUAACACGUGAGUAACCUGCCCUUGACUUUGGGAUAACUUCAGGAAACUGGGGCUAAUACCGGAUAGGAGCUCCUGCUGCAUGGUGGGGGUUGGAAAGUUUCGGCGGUUGGGGAUGGACUCGCGGCUUAUCCGCUUGUUGGUGGGGUAGUGGUUUACCAAGGCUUUGACGGGUAGCCGGCCUGAGAGGGGGACCGGCCACAAUGGGACUGAGAGACGGCCCAGACGCCUACGGGAGGCAGCAGUCGGGAAUAUUACACAAUGGGCGGAAGCCUGAUGUAGCAGCGCCGCGUGCGGGAUGACGGCUUUCGGGGUGAAAACCGCUUUCGCCGGUGACGAAGCGUGAGUGACGGUAAUGGGUAAAGAAGCACCGGCUAACUACGUG